UUUCACCGAGCCCAGCCACAGGGGGCGGUCCUCGGAGCGGCCCCGUCCGUACGUGGCCAGCAGGGCCUGGGCCUC
rnacentral:antisense_RNA from 1 species